rnacentral:rRNA from 1 species
UCUGCCUGGUAGUGGGGGAUAACGUCCGGAAACGGGCGCUAAUACCGCAUACGUCCUGAGGGAGAAAGUGGGGGAUCUUCGGACCUCACGCUAUCAGAUGAGCCUAGGUCGGAUUAGCUAGUUGGUGGGGUAAAGGCCUACCAAGGCGACGAUCCGUAACUGGUCUGAGAGGAUGAUCAGUCACACUGGAACUGAGACACGGUCCAGACUCCUACGGGAGGCAGCAGUGGGGAAUAUUGGACAAUGGGCGAAAGCCUGAUCCAGCCAUGCCGCGUGUGUGAAGAAGGUCUUCGGAUUGUAAAGCACUUUAAGUUGGGAGGAAGGGCAGUAAGUUAAUACCUUGCUGUUUUGACGUUACCAACAGAAUAAGCACCGGCUAACUUCGUGCCAGCAGCCGCGGUAAUACGAAGGGUGCAAGCGUUAAUCGGAAUUACUGGGCGUAAAGCGCGCGUAGGUGGUUCAGCAAGUUGGAUGUGAAAUCCCCGGGCUCAACCUGGGAA